rnacentral:lncRNA from 1 species
GAUGUUCACGUUGCUAAUUGCCGAGGUCCUCUUCUAGGAUUGGUUGUCCACUCAUAACCAUAAGAUAAUUAAAACGGGGGGGGGCAGGGUAAAAAAAAAACCCUUUUAUCAGCCAUAGGUUAAUGCAAGUGUUUAACAGAUGCUUCGCUAUUAAAAUAUUUCCCCCCAAUACUGAAGAAUCUUAAACCAGCAACCCUAACAGAGAUUGCGAAGAUUUUCAAAGUGGGGCACCUCGAUUUCUCGAAUCUGUGGUGUGGCGAAUAUCCGUGUUCCUCCUGCUUAACUAGCCUGUUUGAAGGCACAGUUCAUUCUCGAGCAAUUCGUCACCUCCUGGGGGUCUUCUCUUCCCGUCUACAGGAGAGUGUGACUUCAGAAAGAACUUCGGAUUGGCCAAGGCAGGUCUGAUUCUAUUUAUUCUAAAGACAGAGUUGGAGAUGGGCUACCAUUGGUGUUGAUUGAGAUGACAAGCAGUCACCUGAGCCCAUACAGCUGGUAAGUAGAACAGUACUGGAGAGAUGGCUCAGCAGUUAAGAGCACUGACUGCUCUUCCAGAGAUCCUGAGUUCAAUUCCCAGCAACCACAUGGUGGCUCACAAACAUCUGUAAUGAGAUCAGGUGCCCUCUUCUGGUGCCUUUGAAGACAAAGACAGUGUAGUGUCAUAUAUAUAAAAUAAAUAAAUCUUUAGAAAUUUGAAAAUAAUUUUAUGCUGUUUCAUUACAUUAACCAUUUUUUAAAAUAAUAGCCAGAAUGAAUGGAGUAAAGAAGUGGGGAUUCCUAGGGAUGCUGGGAAGGAAUUAAAAGAAACCACAUACAUUCAAAUAUGCAACAAUACUAGAUCAAUGGUGUAGUCCUUGUCUAGCGUGCACAAGAUCCUGGGUUCAGUCCCUAGAACAAAGCCAAAACCAGCAGGAAGUCAAACAGCUUAAAGGGAGAGAACUCACACACAUUGAGCACACAUUGUAUCCUACAUUCUUUACAUGCAUUAUCCUCUUUGCUUGUUUGUUUGUCUUUUGGUUUUUCAAAUCACAGUUUCUCUGUGUAGCUCUGACUCCUGGAACUAGCUCUGUAGAGUAGGCUGGCCUGGAACUCACAGUGAUCUGCCUGCCUCUGCCUCCUGAGUGCUGGGGUUAAAGGCGCUCACCACCAUUACCUGGGCAUAUUAUCUUUUUAAUAUGUAUAGUGCUUGACAUGCAGGAGCAGAUUUCACACAGAAGGCAAUUGAGGUCCAGAGAUGUUAAGUAACUUGUCCAAAUACAUUAUUAUUAGCAUGUGGAAUUUAAAAUAAAAGUAGCUGAUAUUAAAAAUGCAUGUCCAAGUGCUGCGAACAAAACACCACAAAUUGAGUAUGAAAUACUUCUUGCAAAUUUUUACUCUAAAUUUGAUCUCUGGAUUUGGCUAAAAACUAACCCACAACAAAAUAGAAUACUAAUAAAUACGAAAAGAACUUGGAUUGCUCAUGCUACACAAGUGGGAAUUUGAGCUCUGAUACUGUCUGGUGUUUAGUUUAGUGGUUUCUUAAAAUACAAAACAGAACAAAACACCAAUCCCCCCAAAAUAAAACAAAAUAAAAACAAAAACAAAACAAAAACAUAAACAAAACCCCAAAAGCAAGCAAGCAAGCAAGCAAGCAAACAAGCAAGCAAGCAGCAAGCAAGCAAGCAAGCAAGCAAGCAAGCAGACAAACCCCCAAAACUAGACAUGGCUUGGCAUCGUGCUUCUGAGUAUUUUCCUCCAGAUAAAUAAAUACUCAAGUUCACAUCAAAUGUUCAUAACAGCUUUAUUUGUAAUAGCCAAUAACUACUCAGGUGUCCUUCAGUGGGUAAACUAACUGUUAGCCAUUCUACUAACAUUUAAGCUACCACUAUUAAUCACAAUGCAUCCAUACUAUGAAAUACUGCUGAACAGUUAGAGGCAGCAAACCACUGAUGUGCAAAUGAAUCUUUAGGGAACUAGACUGGGUGAACAAAAGGUUCUACUUGACGUCCUUACUUUUUCUCCGUUUCCAUUGUGCGAAUGUGUAUUUUAAUGGCUGUCUUGCAUGGUUGUUAUACAGUUGCGUGUGCGAGGUUGAUGUUAGGAAUCCUCCUUGGUAGUUCUUCUAACUUAUUCUUAUUCUUGGAGUCGGUUUUUUUUUUUUUUUUUUUGUCAAACCCAGGGUUCACAGAUGUGGCUAGUCUUGCUAGCCAGCUCGCACUGUGGACAUUCUAGGGAACUGACUGCAGUCCUCAUGCUUGGAGUCAAACACUUUAACCACUGCACACGUUUAUGUAAUAGGAUUGACAUAUGAGAAUCAGAGAAAUGAAUGAAAGAUUAGAGGUAAGCAAGAGCCAAGUAAUAGUGGAGGUGAGAGGGGGAAGUGGGCGUGACUGUGUGAGAGGGGGAAGUGGGCGUGACUGUGUGAGAGGGGGAAGUGGGCGUGGCCGCGUGAGAGGGGGGAAGUGGGCGUGGCCGCGUGAGAGGGGGAAGUGGGCGUGGCUGUGUGAGAGGGGGAAGUGGGCGUGACUACAAAAGGACAGCAAUGGAUUCCAGGCUCAAAGCAAACAAUUUGUAUUUAGCUGUGGCAGAACUGAUAACCUAGUUGUGAUAUUGUGUAACAGCACUGCUAAAGCUGGGUAAGAAGAUUGAAAGAUCUCUAUUUUUUUUUUAAUUGCUGCAUGAGAACAUUCAAAAAGCUUAACAAAAGGUCAGUGGAUAUUCUAGGAAGUCAAUCCCAUACUUUCUAGAACUAGAGUCUAGACCAGAAAGUAUUCUAGUCUAGAGUCAGACUGGGGGAAGGAUAGGAGUGUGAAUAAGUCUGACAUUUUCUAACCUUAAGAAAGAGUCUCAGGUCAUUUAUCAAACUAGUCUGAUUUUUUUUUUAAUCUCUGAAUUUUAUUAUGGAUUAUAGAUCUAUUUGGGAAAAGAUUUGGGGAAAGACAAGAAGCCAUCUCUUGUUAGGGGACUUUUUCUUUGCAUAGAACUUUAAAAUUGAUGAGCUGAUUGAACUAUACAUUAGAAGACAAAACUAGAGUUCCUUAGACCAAUAAUUUAUUUCUAAAGUUUUUUUGUUUUGAUUAGUCUCAUCUUCUGACUUACUAAAACUCCUUCCUUUUUCUUUUAUUCUCUUUGAAUCUGUAUUUCCAUGUUGUACUGAUUCAGUGGGAGAAAGUGCUUGCUGCCAAGCUUGAUGACCUAAAUUGAAUACCUGGAACCUACACGACAGAAAGAGAGAGCUGACUGCUGAAAGAUGUCCUCAGAUCUUCACAUGUGCACAGUGGCACCUAUCCAACCAUGCACAUAGUAUAUUAAAAAUUAUUUUUUAAAAAA